rnacentral:rRNA from 1 species
CCUACGGUAGGCAGCAGUGGGGGAUAUUGCACAAUGGAGGAAACUCUGAUGCAGCGACGCCGCGUGAGGGAAGACGGUCUUCGGAUUGUAAACCUCUGUCUUUGGGGAAGAAAAUGACGGUACCCAAAGAGGAAGCUGCGGCUAACGAAGUGCCAGCAGCAGCUGUAAUACGUAGGGAGGGAGUGUUGUUCGGAAUUACGGGGUGUAAAGGGGGCGUAGGCGGGCGAGAAAGUUGAAUGUUAAAUCUACCGGCUUAACUGGUCGCUGCGGUGAAAACUUUUUGUCGUGAGUGAAGUAGAGGCAGGCGGCAUUCCUAGUGUAGCGGUGAAAUGCGUAGAUAUUAGGAGGAACACCAGUGGCGAAGGCGGCCUGCUGGGCUUUAACUGACGCUGAGGCUCGAAAGCGUGGGGAGCAAACAGGAUUAGAUACCCUAGUAGUC